CAUUUCUUUGUCUUUAAAUCCAUUAAUCAUUUUACAUCUGUGAGUUAGGCAGAAGCUCACAUUUGGAAACUUUACUAUCAUCUCACUUGGCCACUGGUGGCGAAAGCAGCAUCAACCCAAGUAUGGCUACUGCAAUACAUACCCACAGUACUACACAUACCCACAGUAGGGAACAGGUCAUCACAUCAGAGCUCAACCAACCAAAGUGUUUCCCAAGCAACUCAGCCAGAGAUCACCAAGGGUGGAAAACCAUGCCAAUGCAUGCAAUGGACCACAGACAUGAACAAAUUCAUCAUGUAUACAUGUUACACAAUUACAAAAUUAGAAACCGACACUACAGGGUACAGAAGGGAACUCUAUGACAAAUUCACAAGCAGCUACCCAAACAUCACAGUUACAGAA
rnacentral:lncRNA from 1 species